AAUGAACGUCGGCGGCGUGGAUUAGGCAUGCAAGUCGCGCGACAAGCCCCGCAAGGGGUGGAGGAGCGGCAAACGGGGUAGUAAUGCGUCGGAACGUACCCUCAGGUCGGGGAUAGCCAGGGGAAACUCUGGGUAAUACCCGAUGACCUCGCGAGAGCAAAGGUCCGCCGCCUGAGGAGCGGCCGACGUGGUAUCAGGUAGUUGGCGGGGUAAUGGCCCACCAAGCCUUAGACGCCUAGGGGGCGUGAGAGCGCGGCCCCCACCACUGGGACUGAGAUACUGCCCAGACACCUACGGGUGGCUGCAGUCGAGAAUCUUCCGCAAUGGGCGCAAGCCUGACGGAGCGACGCCGCGUGCGGGAUGAAGGCCUUCGGGUUGUAAACCGCUGUCAGAGGGGAUGAAAGCCGCAAGGCUUGACAGAGCCUCAGAGGAAGCACGGGCUAAGUUCGUGCCAGCCGCCGCAGUAAGAC
rnacentral:rRNA from 1 species